GAUGAACGCUGGCGGCGUGCCUAAUACAUGCAAGUCGAGCGAACGGACGAGAAGCUUGCUUCUCUGAUGUUAGCGGCGGACGGGUGAGUAACACGUGGAUAACCUACCUAUAAGACUGGGAUAACUUCGGGAAACCGGAGCUAAUACCGGAUAAUAUUUUGAACCGCAUGGUUCAAAAGUGAUAGACGGUCUUGCUGUCACUUAUAGAUGGAUCCGCGCUGCAUUAGCUAGUUGGUAAGGUAACGGCUUACCAAGGCGACGAUGCGUAGCCGACCUGAGAGGAUGAUCGGCCACACUGGAACUGAGACACGGUCCAGACUCCUACGGGAGGCAGCAGUAGGGAAUCUUCCGCAAUGGGCGAAAGCCUGACGGAGCAACGCCGCGUGAGUGAUGAAGGUCUUCGGAUCGUAAAACUCUGUUAUUAGGGAAGAACAUAUGUGUAAGUAACUGUGCACAUCUUGACGGUACCUAAUCAGAAAGCCACGGCUAACUACGUG
rnacentral:rRNA from 1 species